UCAUAGAAAAUUUUCAAUAAUGAUUUGAGUCACCAGAAGGAUAGUAUUCUCCAAAAAUUUUAUUUCAUGAGCUUGGAUUUUAGUUUGUUGUAGAGGUAAGAGUUGUAGGGAUCACAUUUAGGAGAAGAAAAGCUUUGAGGGGCAUAGUGGUAGUGUUUAACAGUGUGCUCAGUUGACUUCAAUUACAAAUUUAAAAUAUUUUAACUUGUUUUGGUUUGAUAUUUUAAACUUUUUGUAAGUUAUUAAUUAGGAGUUAUAGUUAGAAAAACUUUAUAUAGUCUAUAAUUGUAGGUAUUCUUAACAUAAGGGAGAUGGGCAAGUCAUCUAAGGUCAUUUUCAUUUAUUGAGUAAUAGUUUUUCCUAGAUUUGUCAUUUUUCAUUGGUAAAAAGAUUUUUUUAUGAUUUUGAAUGUUCUACUUUGAAAAUCCAGGCAUGUUAGUUUAAGAGCUGCCUCAGGCUUUUUAUUAUCCUAUGAAAAAACAUCUUUCUACACAAACAUCACCAUUUAUGGCAGCUUGAAAUGAUUUUGUUUAGCCGCUAUCACUGCAGAACACGCAAAACCUCAUUUAGGGGCCAUAGCAAAUAGUUUUAUAGAUAAGUCACAGCCACAACCAAGCUUUUCUAGGUUCUGUUGAGAGCACUGUAUGAAAUUCUUAGUUCUAAUACCUAACACUUUGGUAGAUAAAAAUUUUCAAGUUUAAAGUGAAAUGAAAGAAAAAGAAAUCUACCACUAACCCAAAAUAGAUGGAUAGCAGCUUUCAAUAUCCUAAAAAAUGUGUAGAAAAGGGGAAGUAUAAUCAAGGCAACACGGGGAGAAACGUUUUACUUUAUAUGUCCUCGAAACUUUUCAGAAAGCUUCUUCAAAAUUUUAUCUGACAUUGAACAUUGUAUUACCAGGCGCAGUGACACUUGAAAGGCUGAUUUCAAGUUCUUAUUACUUUGAUCUGAUAGGGAAACCUUUCCCACCACUUAAUGUCAGUGCCUUUUAAAUCUAUUAAUAAAUUAUCACUCACUCUAUAUUUAAUAAUGUACCUAAAUAUGAAACUGCUUUUUAGGACAACUAAUUUAAAUUAAUGCUUUGUUAGGUAAGUCAUAUUCCUGUGGAUCAGAUGCAUCCAGAAUUUCCUUAUUUGGUCCUGCAUGACCAUGAAUAACUAGACUAAGGAACCAAGAAGAGAAUCAUUUUCAGAUGUGGUGGAGCCAUCUGAGACCUUACGGAGGAGGGACUGGAGGAGCAAGAAGAUAGAAGGAGCCCAGGUCCCUGGAUGAAAACUUAAGCCAUUGUUGCAGGGUCCCUAUUACCCAGCACUUCUGCUAGAUCUUCACAUUGCACGCUCUUCUCAUCAUUCAGGGGCCAACUCAGAUGUCACCUCAGAUGAACCUACUGAAAAAUUUAAGUUUCUUGAAUGCAACAGCCUUGUCUGUCUUACUCAUUGCUGGAUUCCUGAUGCCUGGAACAGUGCCUGACACAUAGUAGUGCUGAAGGUCUUUUCAAAUCUAAGUCCAAAUGCAAGGUGAGGAUCAGGACAUCGGUUUUCCAGAGCUGGGUUGGGAUUCUUGGCUCUGCCACUCAACAACUAUGAAACCUGGACCCCCAAAGCAGGCGUGUCUUUCAUCAUUCUAGGCCUUGAUUUCUUCAUGUGAAAUGACAACAUGGGUAGAUAAAGCCCAGGGCUCCAUCCUGGCUCAGCCGCUGUGGGUCCCUGGCAUGUCACUCUCCAGUGCUCUGCCUCGGGACCUUUUUAAUGGCUGGACUCCUCUUUAGCGUCCUCUCCAGUCCAGAUGUAUCCAGUUGAGAAGGUGUGACACCUUGAUACUUUAAGGGGCAUGCACAAGCUACAGCAUGGAAUUUCUCCGAAUUUGGGAUCCUGCCAAUGUGGCAGAAGAAGUAAGAAUCCCAUUUGUAUUCAGAGUACUUCUCAGAGUCCAUCUAAGACCAUGAUCUUGUUCCUUCCGGCGCUGACUUGCCCUGGCCAGGGCUGAUGAGUAGUACUCACCUCCUUCUGGAUGGAUCGGCUGAGAAACAAGGAAACCUCCUCCAGGCUGUGGGGCUUCAGGUCAUUCACCGCCAAAACGUGAUCUCCAUGAUAAAAUAAGCAUCCCAGGCGCGGGGGGCCUUCCCACUGAGCCACACUGCAGUGGGAAUACGACACGUGAGACGGAGCUCGCUGGGAGGGCAGGGCACACGUGGGGCCUCGCUCUGAGCUUGUUGCAAUGCCUCUGAAGGAGACGACCUCCUUUUCCUGUUUGGAAUAUUCUUUGCUCCAUCACUGCCAUGGGAGCCUAACCCUUCCUCCAAAGCCCAGCUCAAAUCAUACCACCCUUACAAAGUCCUACGUUCCGUUCCUUUGCUGUAAUUAACGUCCUCUUCCCCUGGACUUCUGUUGCAUUGUGUGAGUACCUUAUUUAUUAUAUUUUUAAAUAAAAAUGCAUUUUGUAUUUA